rnacentral:rRNA from 1 species
GACGAAGGAUGCAAGCGUUAUCCGGAUUCAUUGGGUUUAAAGGGAGCGUAGGCGGCCUUGUAAGUCAGUGGUGAAAUCUCGCAGCUUAACUGCGAAACUGCCAUUGAUACUGCAGGGCUUGAGUACAGAUGCUGUGGGCGGAAUAUGACAUGUAGUGGUGAAAUACAUAGAGAUGUCAUAGAACACCGAUUGUGAAGGCAGCUCACAAAACUGUAACUGACGCUGAGGCUCGAAAGUGUGGGGAUCAAACAGG